rnacentral:rRNA from 1 species
GACGAACGCUGGCGGCGUGCUUAACACAUGCAAGUCGAACGGAAAGGCCCUGCUUUUGUGGGGUGCUCGAGUGGCGAACGGGUGAGUAACACGUGAGUAACCUGCCCUUGACUUUGGGAUAACUUCAGGAAACUGGGGCUAAUACCGGAUAGGAGCUCCUGCUGCAUGGUGGGGGUUGGAAAGUUUCGGCGGUUGGGGAUGGACUCGCGGCUUAUCAGCUUGUUGGUGGGGUAGUGGCUUACCACGGCUUUGACGGGUCGCCGGCCUGAGAGGGUGACCGGCCACAUUGGGACUGAGAUACGGCCCAGACUCCUACGGGAGGCAGCAGUGGGGAAUAUUGCACGAUGGGCGGAAGCCUGAUGCAGCAACGCCGCGUGCGGGAUGACGGCCUUCGGGUUGUAAACCGCUUUCGCCUGUGACGAAGCGUGAGUGACGGUAAUGGGUAAAGAAGCACCGGCUAACUACGUG